CUGUCACUCUCGUGGCAGCGAAUUGUAGUCUCGAGAAGCGUCUUCACGGUGGAUCCCACCUGCCCAAGUUGCUUGGAACAGCACAUCGGAGAGGGUGACAAUCCCGUGUGUGGCAGGUGGGACUGCUCAUGAUGCGCUUUCCAUGAGUCGGGUUGCUUGGGAAUGCAGCCCAAAAUUGGUGGUAGACUCCAUCUAAAGCUGAAUACUGGCACGAGACCGAUAGCGAACAAGUACCGUGAGGGAAAGAUGAAAAGAACUUUGAAAAGAGAGUUAAAAAGUGCGUGAAACCGUUAGAGGGGAAGCGGAUGGAGUUAGCAAUGCUCCUGCGAGAUUCAGGCGGUUGUACGGUCUGACGUGUGGCUGGCGGAUCCGAAUGGACUGUCACCACACGGCCUGGCCUGGCAGCUGCCGCACUUUUCGCAGGUGUGCGUCAACAGCUGCUGGACUAGUCGCUCGUUCAUGCGAGUGUUGUCUGGCCGGGCUACACGGCUCCUGUGGAAGGUAGGUGUCCGGCUCGCCGGUCACUGUUAUAGCCACUGGUGUCCCAGCCCGGGUCUGGCAGAGGAGCUGGCUGCGGUGCUCCACGGAGCAUGCAGCAGCCAGUGCGGUGCAUGCCCUGGUGCUUGUCACUGGGGCUGGCGGACUGGCGUGUUCCACUCYAAGUCACCUGGUGUGCACUGCGUGCAGUACACUCCAUGGUGGCAAAGAGGCACCCAGUUCUCGCACACUAUGCACCAUGGUUGUUGGCGGCCAUAUGGCUUCUUCCGACCCGUCUUGAAACACGGACCAAGGAGUCUAACAUGUGCGCGAGUCUUGGGGUGACCGAAACCCAUUGGCACAAUGAAAGUGAAGGCUGCUGCACUCGGCUCACUCUGCGUGUGUCGGAUGCUCAGCUGAGGUGAGAUCGCCACCCACUACCASUGGGUGGUGCGCAUCAUCGACCGACCUAUUCUACUCCUAGAAAGGUUUGAGUAAGAGCGUACAUGAUGGGACCCGAAAGAUGGUGAACUAUGCCUGAGUAGGGUGAAGCCAGAGGAAACUCUGGUGGAAGCUCGUAGCGAUNCUGACGU
rnacentral:rRNA from 1 species